CGCAGUUUAGUAUUUUUAUGAACGUAUUCGCUGCAGUCCGCUCGGCACGUCGUAGUGGAUGCUUCCGGUUCAUCAAACGUUCCCCACGCGCUUCACUCCAUGCUCUGACAACCCCCUUCCAGGACCUCCUCCUGGGGGUGCCGCACACAGCUGAGACCAUACAGCUGUCUGAGGGUUGGGCAGUCACCAUGCGUUCCACUGCAUAUAUAUAUGAUGGGUAACAGUCACGGAGCUCUAUACUAAAGUGCUUACAUCGUUCAGUUGCUGCCGAUCAAAAAGUCUUUCACCACCGAUUCCCUCCCGUGAUGAAGCUCCUCAUAUGCGUCGGUCUUCUGAUCACCUGUUUUGCUGCCAACUCUGAUGCCUGUUGUUGUCAGACAAACGUCCAGUCCCACCACAGUAGCCACGGCAUCCCCAUGCCCAUCCCCUACCCCGUGGGUGGAGGCGGCAGCAGCAGCAGUCACACCAACUUCCUCCCCAUCGUCCUCACCACAGCCGGCUGAUGACAUCUCAGUAGACAGCGAUGGGAUAGGCCCGACUGAACCACUCUAGUGUCCGCCUCUGAGCAUGUCUGUAAACUCACAAGGUACACUAUGUGGGCUGACUUUCUAUAUAUAAAAAUUAAAAAAAUAGCUCAGUA